rnacentral:rRNA from 1 species
ACGCUGGCGGCAUGCUUAACACAUGCAAGUCGAACGUGAAAGCACUUCGGUGUGAGUAGAGUGGCGGACGGGUGAGUAACGCGUGGGAAUCUACCCAGUAGUGGGGGACAACUACCGGAAACGGUAGCUAAUACCGCAUACGCCCUAUGGGGGAAAGGCUUCGGCCGCUAUUGGAUGAGCCCGCGUCAGAUUAGCUAGUUGGUAGGGUAAAGGCCUACCAAGGCAACGAUCUGUAGCUGGUCUGAGAGGACGAACAGCCACACUGGGACUGAGACACGGCCCAGACUCCUACGGGAGGCAGCAGUGGGGAAUAUUGGACAAUGGGCGAAAGCCUGAUCCAGCAAUGCCGCGUGUGUGAAGAAGGCCUGCGGGUUGUAAAGCACUUUCAGUUGGGAAGAUGAUGACGUUACCAACAGAAGAAGCACCGGCUAAAUCCGUGCCAGCAGCCGCGGUAAUACGGAUGGUGCGAGCGUUAAUCGGAAUUACUGGGCGUAAAGCGCGCGUAGGCGGCUAAGUCAGUCAGAAGUGAAAGCCCCGGGCUCAACCUGGGAAUUGCUUUUGAUACUGCUUAGCUAGAGUUUGGUAGAGGAUAGUGGAAUUCCAGGUGUAGCGGUGAAAUGCGUAGAUAUCUGGAGGAACAUCAGUGGCGAAGGCGACUGUCUGGACCAAAACUGACGCUGAGGUGCGAAAGCGUGGGUAGCAAACAGGAUUAGAUACCCUGGUAGUCCACGCCGUAAACGAUGUCAACUAGCCGUCGGGUCUAUUUACAGACUUGGUGGCGCAGCUAACGCGAUAAGUUGACCGCCUGGGGAGUACGGCCGCAAGGUU